UACGGAGGGGGCUAGCGUUGUUCGGAUUCAUUGGGCGUAAAGGGUGCGUAGGUGGCGAUGUAAGUCUAACGUGAAAUCUCGGGGCUCAACCCCGAAAUUGCGUCGGAUACUGCGUUGCUAGAGGAUUGUAGAGGAGAGUGGAAUUCACGGUGUAGCAGUGAAAUGCGUAGAUAUCGUGAGGAAGACCAGUUGCGAAGGCGACUCUCUGGGCAACUCCUGACACUGAGGCACGAAGGCUAGGGGAGCAAACGGG
rnacentral:rRNA from 1 species